rnacentral:rRNA from 1 species
UACAGAGGGGGCAAGCGUUGUUCGGAAUUACUGGGCGUAAAGGGCGCGUAGGCGGCCUGUUAAGUCGAACGUGAAAUCCCCGGGCUCAACCUGGGAACUGCAUCCAAAACUGGCAAGCUAGAGUAGGGCAGAGGGGUGGUGGAAUUUCCUGUGUAGCGGUGAAAUGCGUAGAUAUAGGAAGGAACACCAGUGGCGAAGGCGACCACCUGGGCUCAUACUGACACUGAGGUGCGAAAGCGUGGGGAGCAAACAGG